GUGGACCCUCGAACCUGGUGGCUCAGUUUCCAUGGAGUGGCAGAUGCUGGUGGGCACUGAUUUUGUGGAGUGUGGGUUACGUCCGGCCUCCAGCCCCUGGGAGACGUCCCUUCACCCUGGGCUAACGUGGCUCCUUUGUUUGUCACAGAAUGUCCUGAAGGAACAUGCAGAGGAUGACCCCAGCCUGGCCGUUACUGGAGUCCCUGUGGUCAGUUGGCCAAAGAAGACUCCAAAGGAUUGCUGCCAGAGAGCAAGGGCUCCGGAAAUAGUUGUUGAAUGAAUGAACUCCAUAGCAAGAUUUUCCCAGCGCUUCUAGAAGAUGAAGUUAUAGUCAGUGUCUUCUCUUUACUCUCUUCACCUGCUGCCAAAAUGCUUCUGAGUCCUCUUUGGUGGCUUAACUCCUUGAACUUUUGUGUUCCAGUUCCAGCCAGCUGCUAAAACCAACAUUAAUUGGAAGAGACCUAAAAAGACUUCAACACUCCCUGGGCCCCUUUGCCCCUCAAAUUGAGGCUUCCUCUUUGUCCUGCUGGACUUGGGGAGAUCUUACCACAUCUGGAAUUUUUCAGCCAUUAUUUGUAUCCUUUAGAACUAUAUUAUGGAACUUUAAGACAAUAUCCAGCUGAAAUAACCUAUAAUUAAAGUCCAUAGACAAGGAUUUCGUUUUUAGUCUGAUAGCCUGCUUAGUUGUCUGUGUUAAUAAUGCCAAAGACAAAUUUUUGGAAAGUAAUUGAGAUUUUUGAGAGUGCCUGGCUUUGGUGGAAUUAUUAGAAACCCUGGCAGGCAUUGCAGUUGUUUGCCAUUACUGUGUUUUUGUCUCUGGAACAAUGGCUAAUCCCAUGGACAUUUUUUGUCACCAGAUGCUAUGAAAUAUAGAGAAUAAGGUUUGUUUCUCCCCCUUUUCACUCUCUAAUUUGAUUUUGUUAGGAAGAUGGGUGUGCAUUUGACCACAUGAUGGCUUUAGAUAACCAGACCUUCCAGUUUAGAUGAUCUAGAGAAAAAUAAUAAAACCUGCUGGAAAUCAGUGGCCUUUCCCUCCAGGAACACAGUAAUUAAGCAGCAAAGUACUGCUCCUAAAGUUCAGAAGUAAUCUCACUUAUAAAAGUAAUUUUUACUUUAUUUUAUUUUUACCAUUUAGAUUCUUUUCCCUUCAGUUAAAGUAUGUAAGACAAGAUGGCAGGAGUGGGUGUGGGAUGAGCCUUAGUGUUCCUAGCAUUCGAUUUCUUCUGGGGGAUAUUCUCUCUUUUUCUUUUCUUUUUUGAGACAGGGUCUCACUUCAUAGUUCAGGCUGGCCUUGAACUCACUCUGUAGCCCAGGCUGGCCUCAAACUCGUAGUGAUCCUUUUGCCUCAGCCUCCUGAGUGCUGGGAUUACAGGUGUGUACCACUGAGGCCACUUCUCUUCUUUCCUUUUUUUGAGACCCAUCUCUCUGUGUAGCCCAGGCUGGCCUUGAACUCAGGCAAUCUUCCUGCCUCAGCCUCUAGAGUGCUGAGAUUGCAGGUGUGUUCCACCACACCUGGCUUCUUUUAUUUCUUUUAAAAAAUUAAAACUUGGGCUGGGAAUUUAGCUCAGUGGUUCUGGCACCAUCCUUGAAAGUGCAAGGUCCCGAGUUCGAUCCCCAGUACCCCAGAAAAAAAAAAUUAAAACUGUGGUAGCAUCUGUAAUCCCAGCUGCUCAGGAGGCUGGGGCAGGGAGAUCUCAAGUUUGAGGCCAGCCUGGGCAAUUUAGUGUGACUUUGUCUGAACAUAAAUUUUAAAAGGGCUGCAGUGUAGUUCACUGGUACAGGAUUUGCAUGGUUUCAAUCCCCAGCACACCUCCCCAUGGGAAAAAAAAUACAUUCACACUGAACUAUCAUUAUUGUUUCUAGAAAUCUUUUUGUUGUUGUUGUUCUUGAGACAGAGUCUCACUGUGUACUUCAUGCUGGCCUUGAACUCAUUAUGUAGCCCAGGCUGGCCUUGAACUCUCGGAGAUCCUCCUGCCUCAGCUUCCCAGGUGCUGGAAUUACAGGCAUGCACCACCACGCCCAGCUGUUUCUAGAAUGCUUAUCCCAAGUUGAAGCUCUGUCUCAAGUAAACACUAAGACCCCAGCCUCCUCCACUACUCUCCUUUCUGUCUAUGAAUUUGCCAACUCCAGGGCCUUCACAUAGAUAGAGCCAUAUGGUUUUGUUCUUUUGGGACUGGCUUAUUUCACUUGUGAUAAUGUUCUCAGAGUUCAUCACACUUGCCCAGGGCUGCAGUUUUUUUUUUUAGGCUGAAUUCCCUCUUGUGUCUUUCCAUUGCGCUUGCCCACCACAUUUGGUUUACCGGUUCAUCUGUCAGUGAAUGCCUGGGUUUCGUUCACCACAAACAUCUGAGUUCUUUCUUUCUUUUUUUAUUUUUUUCUCUGCGUUCUUUCUCUCACUGGGUACUUUGACUAUGCACCCAGAAGUGGGAUUCCUAGGUCUCAUGGUAACUCUGUAACUUUUUGAAGAACAGCUGUGAAGAACGACUCAGUAAUGGCUGCACUGUACACUCCCACCAACAGGGCACAGGUUCCAGAUUCUCUACAUCCUAACGACACUUAGUAUUAUUUUUCCUCCCCUCCCCUCUUUGUUUCUUUGACAAUAGCCAUCUUUUUUCUUUUUUUUUUUUGGUACCGGUGAUCGAACUCAGGACCUUCCGCUUGCAAGGCAGGCGGCGGAACCACUGAGCUAAAUCCCCAGCCUCGAUAAUAGCCAUCUUACUGAGUGUGGAGUGGUAGCUGUUACUUCUGUUUAACUCACUUUGUUUUAUUUGCAUCUCUGAAAAAAGAAAAAAAGAAUAUUUUUCUGUAGCCAAAAUGACCUUAUUACUCCUAACAAAAUUUCUAUCUUUUCAGGCCCGGGAUUUAGCUCAGUGGUUCCGCCACCUGCCUUGCAAGCAGAAGGUCCUGAGUUCAAUCGCUGCUACCAAAAAAAUUUUUUUCUUUCUUUUUUUUUUCUUUCCAUACCAGGGAUUGAACUCAGGACCUUGUGCUUGCAAGACAGGCACGGCGCCACUGACCUAAAUCCUGGCCCCCAAAUUUAUUUCUUAAUACCACCUAACUCCCAGUCAUAUUUAGUGUGUUAGGCCGUUUUUCAUCACUGUGAUCAAUUUCAAGGAGGAAGAAUUUGUUUGGGCUCAUGGUUUCACAGGUUUCAGUCCAUGGCCUGCCAGCCCCAUGGCUUUUAGGCUUUUAGGCUAUGGCAGAAGCAUGUUGGAAGCUUGUGGUAGAAAAAGGCUGCUCAUAUCAGGGCAGCCAGGAGGCCGAGAAGGAGAGAAGGAGCAAAGAAGAAGAGGUGGGGCUGCGAUAGCAUCCCCAAGGUCAUGCUCCUUGACGUACUGCUUGCAACUGGACGCCACUUUCUAAGCUCCCACUAGGAUCUCACUGAUGAAGGAGAGUCCUCAUGACCCAGUUGCUUUCAACAGUCCCACUGAAACAUGAGGCUCUCGGGGGACAUUUUAGAAGUGAACCAUAACACUUAGAUUUCCCAAAUUAUCUUUUACAACUGCUUUGUCCACACUACUAGGUUCAUACAUGGAAUUGGUUCUUAAUAAAUACAAUGAUGCCUUGGUUCAGGAACUUGAUUUGCUUCAUGAUUUGGGGGAAGAUGGCCCUGUUUGUGUUUGUGUGGGGAAGAUGGCUGUGGUCCUGUUUGUCACCUGAUGUGGAGUUUGUGAACUGAAGGAAAAUUUUGUUGAACGCUUUUGUUUGAGAACAGAAGUGUUGGUGAACCGAGGCAUGACUGUACUCUCUUGUAGUCUGUACUUUUCUUAACAUGGUGAUUUGUAGCAAAUGCGAAGCCAUGUGCUUCCUAGGAUACCCCACUUACAUAUUUAUUUGAUUGUGUCCUUGUAGCGUUGUUUAAGCUUGUACUAGUUCUCUUUUAAUUUCUGGAAGCUGGAAUUAGAUUCAAAGUCUAGUUCAGAUUAAAGUAAAUAGUGUAGCUGGUUAAAGUGAUGGCAGUGCAAUCCUCUGUUAUUCAUUUAUUCUCUUCUUCCUGAAAACCUGAAUGGGUCUGUGUUGUCCUGUUCUGCCAACCAUUCCUUGUUAGCUUCACGUUUUGAUCAUUUGUUCCUCUAUCAAUUUUUUUUUCUUCUGUUUUUUUUGGUGUGUGUGUGACAGAGUCUCGAUUUGUAGUUUAGACUGGCCUUGAACUCACUUUGUAGCCCAGGCUGGCAUCAAAUUUGGUAAUCCUCCUGCCUCAGCCUCCCAAGUGCUGGGAUUAUAGGCGUGCACCACCACAACCAGCUUCAAUCAUUUUAUCCAGAGCUGCAGGAUGAUCUUUGGAGCUCAUCCUUCCUCCUUUUAUGUGAGCCAGCUGGCAACCUUGGCCUCUCUUAAAUUUGCUCCUAGGGCAGGUAUGGUGAUGCACGCCUGGCAAGCCUGUAAUCCCAGCACUUGGGAGGCUGAGGGAGGAGAAUCCCUUGAGUUUGAGGCCAGCCUGGGCUACAUAGUGAGUUCAAGACCAGCCUGAACUACAUAGUGAGACCUUAUCUCAAAACAAAACAAAACACACUUCUUCUGAUGUCUCUUUAAAUGCCUGUGUUUAAAGGAAGGUUUUGGCUUAGUAGACUCUUCAGGUGCUGACAGAUGAGUGUGGUCAGGGAUUUUCUGAUUUGAGUGUAGUGCAUUGUGAUCAAUCCAGAGUGGGGUUUAGAGGCAAAUUAGCCCACUGGAGCCUUUUUUUUUUUUUUUUUAAUGAAGAGAGAGAGGCCCGAAGCAGGAGAGAGGGCCCCCGCAGGUCGGUGUUAGUUUUCCGUCCUACCCCUCUGAGCCUUGUGUAUUUGAGAGGCUGGGAGCGUUGAGGGUCCCGUCAGCCCCCCGCAGUGACCAUUAGCAGCUCGUUCCAGAGGUGAUUGAAGUGGCUCUUGGGUUUGGUUAUUUCUGCUGCCUGGCUCCUAGCUAGGCUGCCUUUUAGGAGAGGGAGCCUGAGCCUCAGGGGAGGACGGCCCCACCCUUGAGGAGCAAAGAAAGUUCAUUCAAAAGGGGGAGAGGCUUGGCUUAUUCUCACCCUCAGGUUGUGGAUAUAAUUUUUUUGCCUCCAUUUUGACCAGCGUGACUA
rnacentral:lncRNA from 1 species